CAAGAGGUAGUAUAAGACUAAUUACGCGACGCUUACAACGUUGAGAUAAGAGACUCUCUUCUUCUUGA
rnacentral:tRNA from 1 species